rnacentral:rRNA from 1 species
AAAGAUUAAGCCAUGCAUGUCUAAGUACAUGCCGUAUUAAGGCGAAACCGCGAAUGGCUCAUUAAAUCAGUUACGGUUCCUUAGAUGUUGACUAUCUACAUGGAUAACUGUGGUAAUUCUAGAGCUAAUACAUGCACAAAAGCUUCGACCUUAGCGGAAGAAGCGCAUUUAUUAGACCAAGACCAAUGGGGUUCUUUACGGAACUCCUUUUUGUGGUGACUCUGGAUAACUAUUGCUAAUCGCAUGGCCUAUGAGCCGGCGAUGAAUCUUUCAAGUGUCUGCCUUAUCAACUGUCGAUGGUAGGUUAUGCGCCUACCAUGGUUGUAACGGGUAACGGGGAAUUAGGGUUCGAUUCCGGAGAGGGAGCCUGAGAAACGGCUACCACAUCCAAGGAAGGCAGCAGGCACGCAAAUUACCCAAUCCCAGAACGGGGAGGUAGUGACGAAAAAUAACAAUACGGGACUCUGUAUGAGGCCCCGUAAUGGAAUGAGAACAAUCUAAUCCUAACGAGA